CCUACGGGAGUCAGCAGUGAGGAAUAUUGGUCAAUGGGCGGGAGCCUGAACCAGCAAAGUCGCGUGAGGGAAGACGGUCCUAUUGAUUGUACACCUCUUUAUCCGGGGAGCUAUGCCGGGCACGUGUGCACGGAGGGAGAGUACCCGCAGAAUCAGCAUCGGCUAAAUUCGUGCCAGCAGCCGCGGUAAUACGGAGUAUGCGAGCGUUAGCCGGAUUUAUUGGGUUUAAAGGGUGCGUAGGCGGAUUUUUAAGUCAGCGGUAAAAUGUCCGGGCUCAACCCGGGCCGGCCGUUGAAACUGGGGAUCUUGAGUGGGCGAGAAGUAUGCGGAAUGCGUGGUGUAGCGGUGAAAUGCAUAGAUAUCACGCAGAACUCCGAUUGCGAAGGCAGCAUACCGGCGCCCGACUGACGCUGAGGCACGAAAGCGUGGGGAUCGAACAGGAUUAGAUACCCCAGUAGUC
rnacentral:rRNA from 1 species